AGUGAACGCUGGCGGUAGGCCUAACACAUGCAAGUCGAACGGCAGCACAGUAAGAGCUUGCUCUUACGGGUGGCGAGUGGCGGACGGGUGAGGAAUACAUCGGAAUCUACUUUUUCGUGGGGGAUAACGUAGGGAAACUUACGCUACUACCUCAUACGACCUACGGGUGAAAGCAGUGGAUCUUCGGACCUUGCGCGAUUGAAUGAGCCGAUGUCGGAUUAGCUAGUUGGCGGGGUAAAGGCCCACCAAGGCGACGAUCCGUAGCUGGUCUGAGAGGAUGAUCAGCCACACUGGAACUGAGACACGGUCCAGACUCCUACGGGAGGCAGCAGUGGGGAAUAUUGGACAAUGGGCGCAAGCCUGAUCCAGCCAUACCGCGUGGGUGAAGAAGGCCUUCGGGUUGUAAAGCCCUUUUGUUGGGAAAGAAAAGCAGCAGGUUAAUACCCCGCUGUUCUGACGGUACCCAAAGAAUAAGCACCGGCUAACUUCGUG
rnacentral:rRNA from 1 species